GGCUGAAAUUCGCCUUCAUGAAGCCGGAAUUGCUAGUAAUGGCAGGUCAGCAUACUGCCGUGAAUACGUUCCCGGGCCUUGUACACACCGCCCGUCACACCAUGAGAGUUGGAGAUACCCGAAGCCUGUGAGCUAACAAACGAGGCAGCAGUCGAAGGUAGAAUCAAUGAUUGGGGUGAAGUCGUAACAAGGUAGC
rnacentral:rRNA from 1 species